rnacentral:rRNA from 1 species
CAGCCGCCACGGUAAUACGUAGGGUGCGAGCGUUGUCCGGAAUUAUUGGGCGUAAAGAGCUUGUAGGCGGUCUGUCGCGUCUGCUGUGAAAACCCGAGGCUCAACCUCGGGCCUGCAGUGGGUACGGGCAGACUAGAGUGCGGUAGGGGAGAACGGAACUCCUGGUGUAGCGGUGGAAUGCGCAGAUAUCAGGAAGAACACCGAUGGCGAAGGCAGUUCUCUGGGCCGUAACUGACGCUGAGAAGCGAAAGCGUGGGGAGCGAACAGGAUUAGAUACCCCGGAGUCCCUGUCUCUUAUACC